CUUAAUAAUUCUUCGGAUGAAUUAAGAAGUGGAAAGCGGCGGACGGGUGAGUAACGCGUGGGAAACCUGCCCUAUACAGGAGGAUAGCUACCGGAAACGGUGAUUAAUACUCCAUAAAACCCUAGUACCGCAUGGUACAUGGGUCAAAACUCCGGUGGUAUAGGAUGGUCCCGCGUCCCAUUAGCUAGUUGGUGAGAUAACAGCUCACCAAGGCGACGAUGGGUAGCCGGCCUGAGAGGGUGAUCGGCCACACUGGAACUGAGACACGGUCCAGACUCCUACGGGAGGCAGCAGUGGGGAAUAUUGCACAAUGGGGGAAACCCUGAUGCAGCGACACCGCGUGAGCGAUGAAGGCCUUCGGGUCGUAAAGCUCUGUCCUAAGGGAAGAAUAUUGACGGUACCUUAGGAGGAAGCCCCGGCUAACUACGUGCCAGCAGCCGCGGUAAUACGUAGGGGGCGAGCGUUGUCCGGAAUCACUGGGCGUAAAGGGUUCGUAGGCGGCCCUAUAAGUCAGAUGUGAAAGCCUUCGGCUCAACCGGAGUAAGCAUUUGAAACUGUAGGGCUUGAGUACAGGAGAGGAGAGUGGAAUUCCUAGUGUAGCGGUGAAAUGCGUAGAUAUUAGGAGGAACACCAGUGGCGAAGGCGACUCUCUAGACUGUAACUGACGCUGAGGAACGAAA
rnacentral:rRNA from 1 species